UACGAAGGGGGGCUAGCGUUGCUCGGAAUCACUGGGCGUAAAGCGCACGUAGGCGGACUCUUAAGUCGGUGGUGAAAUCCUGGAGCUCAACUCCAGAACUGCCUUCGAUACUGGGAGUCUCGAGUCCGAGAGAGGUGAGUGGAACUGCGAGUGUAGAGGUGAAAAUUCGUAGAUAUUCGCAAGAACACCAGUGGCGAAGGCGGCUCACUGGCUCGGUACUGACGCUGAGGUGCGAAA
rnacentral:rRNA from 1 species